AUGUUCUACUCAGACGCUGCAACUUUCUCGAGCCUGGAUAAGUCCGGCAUUGGGGUCGUCGGCAAGGUUGACGGAGGUCAAUUCGUGGUGGCCUGUAGCGAGCCUAUUGCGGGUAGCUUGGAACCUAAAAUGGCUGAGGCCAUGGCUCUUCGACGUGUUGUUUUUUUGGCGCAUGAUGAACAAGUUUCAGAUGUUAUCUUCGCCUCUGACUGUCUCUCACUUGUGCAAAGGAUCAACUCGCCUAUGAGGGACCGUUCUUCAAUUGGAGUGGUGGUGGCUGAUAUCAAGUCUUUGUCUGAAGGCUUCUCUUCAGUCUCCUUCAAACAUGUUCGUCGGCAUUUAAAUGUUCCUGCUCAUGUGCUAGCUAAAUCUUGUAUGAACUCUUCUAGUCUUUGUGUGUUCCAUUCUGUUCCGGAUUGUAUCCGGCAAACUCUGUGUAAUGUUGUUCAUUAA
rnacentral:rRNA from 1 species